GAAACAUCUAAGUACCCGGAGGAAGAGAAAACAAUAGUGAUUCCCAGAGUAGUGGCGAGCGAAAUGGGAACAGCCCAAACCAGAGUUGUUUCGGCAAUUCUGGGGUUGUAGGACCACGAUAUCUGUUGUUCAACGAAUUUGAAUAAACUGGAAAGUUUAACCAUAGAGGGUGAUAGUCCCGUAAAAGUAAGUUCGAAUAAAUGGUAGUGGUAUCCUGAGUAGCGCGGGACACGUGAAAUCCUGUGUGAAACUGUCAGAACCAUCUGAUAAGGCUAAAUACUCCUGAAAGACCGAUAGUGCACUAGUACCGUGAGGGAAAGGUGAAAA
rnacentral:rRNA from 1 species